CUUGCUAAUACAUUUUACUGAGUGGGAGGAAGGAGAAGGUGGAGCUGAAAAUGAAGCCAGAGAACUAAACCACGCAGAGAAGGGGAUGGAAGCCCUGAGACUGCUCGGUGCAAGGGUGGUGGUAUAGGACUGCUCUGGGAGAGCAUAGUGUCUAUGCUACUGGCCAGCUUUGUGCAUGUAUGGGAACUGUUGAGUCCCAGCCUGAAGCACUGAUUGAGCACCUGGAGAAAGGAGCCGGUCAGCCCUAGGAGCACAGGUGAAGGUAGUUCAGCUGUGUGACUGUAAGGGGUGGAGCCUGGCUGCACCUCCCUUAGACCUCAUUUAAGGGCUGACCCCCCCUGGGGAUGGGUCUGUUUCUGGAGAUCCCUCUUUGGAGAAGCUUUCCCCUGCAAACCUGGAAUCUUCUGAUACUGGGUGGCUGGAAGGGCAAAAGCUGCAUUUCCCCACG
rnacentral:lncRNA from 1 species